AACCCCCUCAAGCACUGCUUGGUGUUGGGCGCUUUGUCCCGCCUCCGGGCGCGGACUCGCCUCAAAAACAUUGGCGGCCUGUGUAUUGGCUUCGAGCGCAGCAGAUUCGCGCCUCGCAACCCUCUGGCACGGGCGUCCAUCAAGACGCACCCAA
rnacentral:misc_RNA from 1 species